GUGCACCAGGCGCGAAACCUCCGCAAUGCGGGAAACCGCGACGGGGGACCCCGAGUGCCGUGGCAACGCCACGGCUUUUCCGGAGUGUAAAAAGCUCCGGGAAUAAGGGCUGGGCAAGGCCGGUGGCAGCCGCCGCGGUAAUACCAGCGGCCCGAGUGGUGGCCGCUAUUAUUGGGCCUAAAGCGUCCGUAGCCGGGCCCGUAAGUCCCUGGCGAAAUCCCACGGCUCAACCGUGGGGCUUGCUGGGGAUACUGCGGGUCUUGGGACCGGGAGAGGCGGGGGGUACCCCUGGGGUAGGGGUGAAAUCCUAUAAUCCCAGGGGGACCGCCAGUGGCGAAGGCGCCCCGCUGGAACGGGUCCGACGGUGAGGGACGAAGGCCAGGGGAGCAAAACCGGAUUAGAUACCCGUGUAGU
rnacentral:rRNA from 1 species